rnacentral:rRNA from 1 species
GACGUAGGGCGCGAGCGUUAUCCGGAAUUAUUGGGCGUAAAGAGCUCGUAGGUGGUUUGUCGCGUUGUUCGUGAAAACUCACAGCUCAACUGUGGGCGUGCGGGCGAUACGGGCAGACUAGAGUACUGCAGGGGAGACUGGAAUUCCUGGUGUAGCGGUGGAAUGCGCAGAUAUCAGGAGGAACACCGGUGGCGAAGGCGGGUCUCUGGGCAGUAACUGACGCUGAGGAGCGAAAGCGUGGGGAGCGAACAGG